rnacentral:rRNA from 1 species
GAUGAACGCUGGCGGCGUGCCUAAUACAUGCAAGUCGAGCGAACGGACGAGAAGCUUGCUUCUCUGAUGUUAGCGGCGGACGGGUGAGUAACACGUGGAUAACCUACCUAUAAGACUGGGAUAACUUCGGGAAACCGGAGCUAAUACCGGAUAAUAUUUUGAACCGCAUGGUUCAAAAGUGAAAGACGGUCUUGCUGUCACUUAUAGAUGGAUCCGCGCUGCAUUAGCUAGUUGGUAAGGUAACGGCUUACCAAGGCAACGAUGCAUAGCCGACCUGAGAGGGUGAUCGGCCACACUGGAACUGAGACACGGUCCAGACUCCUACGGGAGGCAGCAGUAGGGAAUCUUCCGCAAUGGGCGAAAGCCUGACGGAGCAACGCCGCGUGAGUGAUGAAGGUCUUCGGAUCGUAAAACUCUGUUAUUAGGGAAGAACAUAUGUGUAAGUAACUGUGCACAUCUUGACGGUACCUAAUCAGAAAGCCACGGCUAACUACGUGCCAGCAGCCGCGGUAAUACGUAGGUGGCAAGCGUUAUCCGGAAUUAUUGGGCGUAAAGCGCGCGUAGGCGGUUUUUUAAGUCUGAUGUGAAAGCCCACGGCUCAACCGUGGAGGGUCAUUGGAAACUGGGAAACUUGAGUGCAGAAGAGGAAAGUGAAAUUCCAUGUGUAGCGGUGAAAUGCGCAGAGAUAUGGAGGAACACCAGUGGCGAAGGCGACUUUCUGGUCUGUAACUGACGCUGAUGUGCGAAAGCGUGGGGAUCAAACAGGAUUAGAUACCCUGGUAGUCCACGCCGUAAACGAUGAGUGCUAAGUGUUAGGGGGUUUCCGCCCCUUAGUGCUGCAGCUAACGCAUUAAGCACUCCGCCUGGGGAGUACGACCGCAAGGUUGAAACUCAAAGGAAUUGACGGGGACCCGCACAAGCGGUGGAGCAUGUGGUUUAAUUCGAAGCAACGCGAAGAACCUUACCAAAUCUUGACAUCCUUUGACAACUCUAGAGAUAGAGCCUUCCCCUUCGGGGGACAAAGUGACAGGUGGUGCAUGGUUGUCGUCAGCUCGUGUCGUGAGAUGUUGGGUUAAGUCCCGCAACGAGCGCAACCCUUAAGCUUAGUUGCCAUCAUUAAGUUGGGCACUCUAAGUUGACUGCCGGUGACAAACCGGAGGAAGGUGGGGAUGACGUCAAAUCAUCAUGCCCCUUAUGAUUUGGGCUACACACGUGCUACAAUGGACAAUACAAAGGGCAGCGAAACCGCGAGGUCAAGCAAAUCCCAUAAAGUUGUUCUCAGUUCGGAUUGUAGUCUGCAACUCGACUACAUGAAGCUGGAAUCGCUAGUAAUCGUAGAUCAGCAUGCUACGGUGAAUACGUUCCCGGGUCU